CUGAGUGCCAGUUCUGUCCCCACUUUCAGUCCAUUGUAUGCCCAUACCCUGCCCACCAGUGUCAAAAACGUGGUGCAAGGAGCUCUCAGUUGUUUGAUAAGAUUCUCACCCAAUAGCUGUAAUGAUCAAAUCUACAGCAACUCUGUGUGAAAACAGAGGAAUGGGGCUGAUGGAGAAGGUUCGGUUCUUCAAAGCCAAGACAGCUGCAAACAGACACCAUUAAUCAUCCCUCUGCCAAGAUCUUCUUCCCACACCAGGCUUUACUGUACAUUCCUUGCAUUUCCAUACCAUGAUGUCAGUCCAGCAUGGAACAAAGAUAAGAAUGGCUCAAGAUUUUCCUUCA